rnacentral:rRNA from 1 species
AUGAACGCUAGCUACAGGCUUAACACAUGCAAGUCGAGGGGCAGCAUGGUCUUAGCUUGCUAAGGCCGAUGGCGACCGGCGCACGGGUGAGUAACACGUAUCCAACCUGCCGUCUACUCUUGGACAGCCUUCUGAAAGGAAGAUUAAUACAAGAUGGCAUCAUGAGUCCACAUGUUCACAUGAUUAAAGGUAUUCCGGUAGACGAUGGGGAUGCGUUCCAUUAGAUAGUAGGCGGGGUAACGGCCCACCUAGUCUUCGAUGGAUAGGGGUUCUGAGAGGAAGGUCCCCCACAUUGGAACUGAGACACGGUCCAAACUCCUACGGGAGGCAGCAGUGAGGAAUAUUGGUCAAUGGGCGAGAGCCUGAACCAGCCAAGUAGCGUGAAGGAUGACUGCCCUAUGGGUUGUAAACUUCUUUUAUAAAGGAAUAAAGUCGGGUAUGCAUACCCGUUUGCAUGUACUUUAUGAAUAAGGAUCGGCUAACUCCGUGCCAGCAGCCGCGGUAAUACGGAGGAUCCGAGCGUUAUCCGGAUUUAUUGGGUUUAAAGGGAGCGUAGAUGGAUGUUUAAGUCAGUUGUGAAAGUUUGCGGCUCAACCGUAAAAUUGCAGUUGAUACUGGAUAUCUUGAGUGCAGUUGAGGCAGGCGGAAUUCGUGGUGUAGCGGUGAAAUGCUUAGAUAUCACGAAGAACUCCGAUUGCGAAGGCAGCCUGCUAAGCUGCAACUGACAUUGAGGCUCGAAAGUGUGGGUAUCAAACAGGAUUAGAUACCCUGGUAGUCCACACGGUAAACGAUGAAUACUCGCUGUUUGCGAUAUACUGCAAGCGGCCAAGCGAAAGCGUUAAGUAUUCCACCUGGGGAGUACGCCGGCAACGGUGAAACUCAAAGGAAUUGACGGGGGCCCGCACAAGCAGUGGAGUAUGUGGUUUAAUUCGAAGCAACGCGAAGAACCUUACCAGGGCUUGACAUCCUACUAACGAAGUAGAGAUACAUCAGGUGCCCUUCGGGGAAAGUAGAGACAGGUGGUGCAUGGUUGUCGUCAGCUCGUGUCGUGAGAUGUUGGGUUAAGUCCCGCAACGAGCGCAACCCCUGUUCUUAGUUGCCAGCACAUAAUGGUGGGAACUCUAAGAAGACUGCCGGUGAUAAAUCGGAGGAAGGUGGGGACGACGUCAAAUCAUCAUGCCCUUUAUGUCCUGGGCUACACACGUACUACAAUGGCGUUAAACAAAGAGAAGCAAGACCGCGAGGUGGAGCAAAACUCAGAAACAACGUCCCAGUUCGGACUGCAGGCUGCAACUCGCCUGCACGAAGUCGGAAUUGCUAGUAAUCGUGGAUCAGCAUGCCACGGUGAAUACGUUCCCGGGCCUUGUACACACCGCCCGUCACACCAUGAGAGUCGGGAACACCCGAAGUCCGUAGCCUAACCGUAAGGAGGGCGCGGCCGAAGGUGGGUUCGAUAAUUGGGGUG